rnacentral:rRNA from 1 species
CCUACGGGCGGCAGCAGUGGGGAAUAUUGGGCAAUGGGCGCAAGCCUGACCCAGCAACGCCGCGUGAAGGAAGAAGGCUCUCGGGUUGUAAACUUCUUUUCUUAGGGACGCAGCAAGUGACGGUACCUGAGGAAUAAGCCACGGCUAACUACGUGCCAGCAGCCGCAGUAAUACGUAGGUGGCAAGCGUUAUCCGGAUUUACUGGGGGUAAAGGGCGUGUAGGCGGGACUGCAAGUCAGAUGUGAAAACCACGGGCUCAACCUGUGGCCUGCAUUUGAAACUGUAGUUCUUGAGUACUGGAGAGGCAGACGGAAUUCGUGGUGUAGCGGUGAAAUGCGUAGAUAUUAGGAGGAACACCAGUGGCGAAGGCGGUCUGCUGGACAGCAACUGACGCUGAGGCGCGAAAGCGUGGGGAGCGAACAGGAUUAGAUACCCGUGUAGUC